AGAGUUUGAUCCUGGCUCAGAGCGAACGCUGGCGGCAGGCCUAACACAUGCAAGUCGAACGGACCCUUCGGGGUUAGUGGCGGACGGGUGAGUAACACGUGGGAACGUGCCUUUAGGUUCGGAAUAGCUCCUGGAAACGGGUGGUAAUGCCGAAUGUGCCCUUCGGGGGAAAGAUUUAUCGCCUUUAGAGCAGCCCGCGUCUGAUUAGCUAGUUGGUGAGGUAACGGCUCACCAAGGCGACGAUCAGUAGCUGGUCUGAGAGGAUGACCAGCCACACUG
rnacentral:rRNA from 1 species